rnacentral:siRNA from 1 species
AUAACUUGGUAACACUGAUAUACA